rnacentral:lncRNA from 1 species
UAAAAGUCCAUUUUUGCCCGGGCCCAUACCAACAAAAUAACCCAAAUAAUAAAACCCAAAACCUAAAAUCAACCUAGCCCAACAUCCAAGCCCAAUCCCAAAACCCUAGACUCCCACUUGCCUCUUCCCAUUCUCCCAUGUUGUCUGCCACCAGCACCACUCCCACUCUCCCAUGCUGUCUGCCACCACCAUGCCUUUUGCCGCACCUGCAAACAAGCAAAGGAAAAGGACAAAAAAUGGAGCAAUAAACAUUAACAGAAUAUUGUAUUUUUGGCUAUAAAAGCCACAAGCAAAAUCGGACCAAGGAGGAAAAAAGAAGAGAAACAAAAAAAAAGAAGAGAAACAAAAAAAAGAGAAGGGGACUUUUGUAACAAAAAAGAGAAGAUUCGGCUUUUGAAAAAAUUGAAAGAAAUAAAAAAGGGGCUUUAGAAGGUGAUUCACCUUGUUUUUUUUCGUUUUCUUUAUUUUCGUUCUAUUUCGGUUUUUCUAUAGUAUUUCUUUCUCUUUUUUAUUAUCAACACACAUAUAUAUAAGAUAAAAAAAAUAAAAGUAAAAAGGAGUUUACCUGUUUCCGGCGGCGGUGGAAAGAGGAAGAACCGAAAGGUCUCUUUCGAUUUUGGCCCUUUUCGCCGGGAUUUCGGCUUUUCUAACCCUAGAUCUGGACCCUAUUCGCAAAAAGGAGAAAAAGGGAGCUUUUUUUGGUUUUCCGGCCACCGCGAACGGCGGCGUCGUCGCCGGCGUCCGGCGACCGGUGCGGUGGUCGAUGGCCGGCAAAGGGGGCUCUUCCUCUCUUUUUACGGACACAAGAACAAUAAAAACAUAAACUUUGAAUCGGAGAAGUAAUUUUCGUUUCUUUAUUUUUGUGUGUUUUUACAUCUAGUUUGAUUUCUUUCUACUUACGAAAAUAAAAACAAAAGAAAUAAGGAGAGGAGAAACUCACCGGAGUUGGCCGUGACCGUGCCGCCGGGGUUUUUCUUCCAUCGUCGGCCGUCGGUCUUGGUGGCGUGGUGGCACUCAAGGUGUUAAGAAACCCAAGUGUUGGGUGUUUAAAAAUGGUGGUUUGAAAAAAACAGAGCCUUUUUCCUCUAGCAAAUUCAAAAAGUGAAAGAAUAAAAAUAUAAAACAUUUUUUGUCU